CCAGCCAGGAAGGAGGAGGCAGCCAGAGUCGCCACCACUGUUUUCUGCAGCAGAAGACCCCUUGCUGACCUGCUGAACCCAGCAUUUGCCAGGAGCCCAGAGCGGUGUACUACAUACUUGAGUUUCUCCUCACAACAACCCUGUGAAGUAGGUGAGGCUGAGAGAGAAGUGACUGGCCCAGAGUCAGCCAGCAAGUCUCAUGGCUGAAUGGGGAUUUGAACUCGGGUCUCCCCGGUCCUAGUCCAGCACUCUAACCACUACACCACGCUGGCUCUCGUUAUGCUACAAUAAAUGGAGCCCGGCUUCUCCCAUGCUCACCGUGCAGCCGUUGCGAAGCGACCACAUAGCUGACGAGGGUCACGUCGCUGGAACCACCCGACUCAAGAGGGAUGGGGUGGACCCGGAAGUGCUCCAGCAUGUCGAAGAUGGU